UACGUAGGGUCCGAGCGUUUGUCCGGAAUUACUGGGCGUAAAGAGCUCGUAGGUGGUUUGUCGCGUUGUUCGUGAAAACUCACAACUCAAUUGUGGGCGUGCGGGCGAUAUGGGCAGACUUGAGUACUGCAGGGGGAGACUGGAAUUCCUGGUGUAGCGGUGGAAUGCGCAGAUAUCAGGAGGAACACCGGUGGCGAAGGCGGGUCUCUGGGCAGUAACUGACGCUGAGGAGCGAAAGCGUGGGGAGCGAACAGG
rnacentral:rRNA from 1 species